CAGUGAUGCACUGCAUUCCACUGUCUGAUUUUAAAACCUCUGUAGGGAAGUUGCUGUAAGAAACUGAAAUGCAAUUUCCUUGCAAUAAAAUUCUUUCUUAGUCAUGACCCAGCCCUAAAGGGUUAUGGGCUCCGGCAAGCAGUUAGUUACUCACUCUCUCCUUUCUGGUCUAAAUUGGGUUGGAAUAUAUAUCAAAGGAAGCCAGAAAGUGGUUGGGGAGAUUAAAAAAAACAACAACAACAACGUUUAGACUGAAUGUCUUGACGGUCCAUCCAUUCACUUCUGCUUUGAAAAUGGCAGAAAUUACUUCAUCAGAUUCGUUUUGCUGCUACCUCAAAGACCUAACUGCAGCACCUCAAAGAAAUGAGAAAUUUCAUGAGUAGAGGAAGGAAAGGAACCAGGGAGAUCAGAAAAGACCAGGAUGAAAGGUAAGAUGAAGGCACUGAGAAAGAAUGAGAAUAAAA
rnacentral:lncRNA from 1 species